ACAUCAAAUGCAAAUCUAAGCAAGAAUCACUCCAGACAUUCUCCCAUACUUGUCUACGUUUCCCUUCUAGCACAACCAGUAGGGCCCCUCGUUUCUGACCAUAGUGCCAUAGCAUGUCAGUCAAAGCAUUAUAAAAGGCAGAUGCUGUUGAAAAGUCCAUUAAUUUUACUUCAUCAAAUAGGGAUUGUGCUUGCACCCAAACAUUCUCUCUAUAACCCAUUAGAAGUCCGUGUGCCACACC
rnacentral:misc_RNA from 1 species